UGCCAUGAAAAUGAUAGGUGUCUAACCAGU
rnacentral:piRNA from 1 species